rnacentral:rRNA from 1 species
AGAACGAACGCUGGCGGCAUGCCUAAUACAUGCAAGUCGAACGAACACUUCGGUGUUAGUGGCGCACGGGUGCGUAACGCGUGGGAAUCUGCCCUUGGGUUCGGAAUAACAGUUGGAAACGACUGCUAAUACCGGAUGAUAUCGAAAGAUCAAAGAUUUAUCGCCCAGGGAUGAGCCCGCGUAGGAUUAGCUAGUUGGUGAGGUAAAGGCUCACCAAGGCGACGAUCCUUAGCUGGUCUGAGAGGAUGAUCAGCCACACUGGGACUGAGACACGGCCCAGACUCCUACGGGAGGCAGCAGUAGGGAAUAUUGGACAAUGGGCGCAAGCCUGAUCCAGCAAUGCCGCGUGAGUGAUGAAGGCCUUAGGGUUGUAAAGCUCUUUACCGAGAUGAUAAUGACAGUAUCGGAGAAUAAGCCCCGGACUAACCUCCGUGCCGAGCGAGCCGCGGU